rnacentral:misc_RNA from 1 species
UGGCUCUCGCAUCGAUGAAGAACGCAGCGAAAUGCGAUAAGUAAUGUGAAUUGCAGAAUUCAGUGAAUCAUCGAAUCUUUGAACGCACCUUGCGCUCCUUGGUAUUCCGAGGAGCAUGCCUGUUUGAGUGUCAUCGGUAUUCUCAAAUCUCCCUGUUUGAGUACAGGUAGCUUUGGACUUGGAGGUUUAUUUUGCCAGUGUUUCUUCACUCUGGCUCCUCUGAAAUGUAUUAGCUUGAUUUCCAAGCAUGAUUCAGCGUGAUAAUCAUCUACGUUGUAUUUCUGUAUGGGUGGUUUUAAGCUUCGAACCUCAUCUUGAAACAUUUGACCUCAAAUCAGGUAGGACUACCCGCUGA